UACGUAGGGGGGCAAGCGUUGUCCGGAUUUAUUGGGCGUAAAGAGCGUGUAGGCGGCCAGACAGGUCCGUUGUGAAAACUCGAGGCUCAACCUCGAGACGCCGAUGGAAACCGUCUGGCUAGAGUCCGGAAGAGGAGAGUGGAAUUCCUGGUGUAGCGGUGAAAUGCGCAGAUAUCAGGAAGAACACCCGUGGCUAAGGCGGCUCUCUAGUACGGUACUGACGCUGAGGAGCGAAAAGCGUGGGGAGCAAACAGG
rnacentral:rRNA from 1 species